UAAACCCCGCCCGCCGUGGCGAACAUGUUCAUACAUCCACCCGGGACCGCGGAAAAGGAAGAAAAUUACUGGUUGUCAGAAAAGUUUUCCUGCGGGGAAAGGAUCGGGCUCGUUCGGGCAGAGGACCGCCAGAGGAUCGCGCUCUCAGGAUUAUUAAUUGUCGCAAUAAACAUCAUGGACGCGCUAAAAUCAGCCGGACGCGCGAUCAUUCGUAGUCCCAGUCUGGCUAAGCAGUCUUGGACCUCUGGAAAACAUAAAAAGCUGCCAGAGAACUGGACAGACACGCGGGAGACGCUGCUGGAGGGAAUGGUCUUUCAGCUGAAGUAUCUGGGCAUGACGCUGGUGGAGGAACCCAAAGGAGAAGAGCUCUCAGCCGCUGCUGUCAAGAGAAUCGUUGCCACAGCUAAAGCUGGUGGGAAGAAGCUUCAGAAGGUGACGCUGAAGGUUUCUCCUCGAGGGAUUGUUCUCUAUGACAGUGUAUCAAACCAGCUAAUAGAGAAUGUGUCCAUAUACAGGAUAUCAUACUGCACAGCUGAUAAGAUACAUGAUAAAGUGUUCGCCUACAUCGCUCAGAGUCAAUGCAAUGAAACGCUGGAGUGUCACGCGUACCUCUGCACCAAGAGGAAAGUGGCUCAGGCGGUGACGCUGACGGUGGCUCAGGCUUUCCGUGUGGCAUUUGAGAUUUGGCAGGCUGCUAAAGAAGAGAAAGAGAAGCAGGUGAAGUGUGGAUCAGAUGGAGAGGUGGCCAGCAGCUCUCAGUCUGACAGUUCGGCCAGUCUGGGCAGCACGAGAGGAGGAGAGGUGGCCACUGGGGAUCUGCUGGACUUUGAAUGUGGAGUAAAAGCUCACUCAGGACAAGACGACACACACCCAGCACAGAACCUCAGCACAGAGAACAACAACACUGUAUGGGAACUUGAGGAUGGUCUAGAUGAGGCUUUCUCGAGACUCGCUGAGUCUCGCACUAACCCCCAGAUGCUGGACAUUGGGGUAAAUCCUCAGGACUACAACCCUGAAGAGUGCUUGUCACCUAGCAACGGGGACAAAGGCGAUGCUGAGGUUGCAGACGGCGUGGACGCGUUCAGUUGGUGGGAUGAACGAGCUGAUGAAAUGACAUGAAGAGAAUCGAGCUCGUCUGACCGUAGCUGAUACCGGCUUUGAGUUGACAUGGGGUUCGGAAAACCCUGCAGAUGACUUCAACAAAAGCACAGACAAAAGCAAUACAGAAUAUAUAUAUAUCUUUUUUUUUUUUUUUCAAAUGACUAAGUAUAUUGACAUUUAACAUUUUCUGUUACAUCCCAUAAGUUUUUUUCUUCUUUUUUUUUUUUUUUUGUAAAAGUAUAUAUGAAUAUAAAAUAUAUGUGUAUGACAAUAACUAUAUAUGUUUUUCUCAUUUGUUAUUAUUAUCAUCAUUUAAAUUUUUUAUGGAUUUGGUUGCUGAGGCUAGCUUUCCUCUUCCUAAUUUCCCGAUGUUUGAGGUUUGUGUGGAGUUGGAUUGUGUUUUUUAAGUGGUGAUGGUUUUGUAUAGACCAGUUGUCUGCCUUCAGAUGUGUGAAAAUGGAUGGCAAACAUUACAGCAUACAAUAAUGAAAAAAAAAAAACUUUUUAAACGAGAAUCUUAUUUUUUCUAUUAAAAUGUAUUUUUGUAUUCCUCUC